rnacentral:rRNA from 1 species
GACAGAGGUGCCGAGCGUUAGGCGGAAUCACUGGGCUUAAAGCGUGUGUAGGUGGAUGCCUAAGUACCUUGUGAAAUCCCACGGCUUACCGUGGAACUGCUUGGUAUACUGGGUGUCUUGAGCCAGCUAGGGGCUACCGGAACAAAUGGUGGAGCGGUGAAAUGCGUAGAUAUCAUUUGGAACGCCAAUGGUGAAAACAGGUAGCUGGGGCUGUGCUGACACUGAGACACGAAAGCCAGGGGAGCGAACGGGAUUAGA